rnacentral:rRNA from 1 species
AUUGAACGCUGGCGGCAGGCUUAACACAUGCAAGUCGAACGGUAGCAGGAGAAAGCUUGCUUUCUUGCUGACGAGUGGCGGACGGGUGAGUAAUGCUUGGGAAUCUGGCUUAUGGAGGGGGAUAACGACGGGAAACUGUCGCUAAUACCGCGUAUUAUCGGAAGAUGAAAGUGCGGGACUGAGAGGCCGCAUGCCAUAGGAUGAGCCCAAGUGGGAUUAGGUAGUUGGUGGGGUAAAUGCCUACCAAGCCUGCGAUCUCUAGCUGGUCUGAGAGGAUGACCAGCCACACUGGAACUGAGACACGGUCCAGACUCCUACGGGAGGCAGCAGUGGGGAAUAUUGCGCAAUGGGGGGAACCCUGACGCAGCCAUGCCGCGUGAAUGAAGAAGGCCUUCGGGUUGUAAAGUUCUUUCGGUAUUGAGGAAGGUUGAUGUGUUAAUAGCACAUCAAAUUGACGUUAAAUACAGAAGAAGCACCGGCUAACUCCGUGCCAGCAGCCGCGGUAAUACGGAGGGUGCGAGCGUUAAUCGGAAUAACUGGGCGUAAAGGGCACGCAGGCGGUUAUUUAAGUGAGGUGUGAAAGCCCUGGGCUUAACCUAGGAAUUGCAUUUCAGACUGGGUAACUAGAGUACUUUAGGGAGGGGUAGAAUUCCACGUGUAGCGGUGAAAUGCGUAGAGAUGUGGAGGAAUACCGAAGGCGAAGGCAGCCCCUUGGGAAUGCACUGACGCUCAUGUGCGAAAGCGUGGGGAGCAAACAGG